GCAAGUCGAGCGGACUUGAUGGAGAGCUUGCUCUCCUGAUGGUUAGCGGCGGACGGGUGAGUAACACGUAGGCAACCUGCCUGCAAGACCGGGAUAACCCACGGAAACGAGAGCUUAUACCGGAAAUCUCAUUUCCUCUCCUGAGGGAAUGAUGAAAGACGGAGCAAUCUGUCACUUGCGGAUGGGCCUACGGCGGAUUAGCUAGUUGGUGAGGUAACGGCUCACCAAGACGACGAUGCGUAGCCGACCUGAGAGGGUGAAC
rnacentral:rRNA from 1 species